rnacentral:rRNA from 1 species
UGGGCGCAAGCCUGAUGCAGCCAUGCCGCGUGUAUGAAGAAGGCCUUCGGGUUGUAAAGUACUUUCAGCGAGGAGGAAGGCGUUGUGGUUAAUAACCGCAGCGAUUGACGUUACUCGCAGAAGAAGCACCGGCUAACUCCGUGCCAGCAGCCGCGGUAAUACGGAGGGUGCAAGCGUUAAUCGGAAUUACUGGGCGUAAAGCGCACGCAGGCGGUCUGUCAAGUCGGAUGUGAAAUCCCCGGGCUCAACCUGGGAACUGCAUUCGAAACUGGCAGGCUAGAGUCUUGUAGAGGGGGGUAGAAUGCCAGGUGUAGCGGUGAAAUGCGUAGAGAUCUGGAGGAAUACCGGUGGCGAAGGCGGCCCCCUGGACAAAGACUGACGCUCAGGUGCGAAAGCGUGGGGAGCAAACAG